GAUGAAGAACGUAGCGAAAUGCGAUAAGUAGUGUGAAUUGCAGAAUUCAGUGAAUCAUCGAAUCUUUGAACGCACAUUGCGCCCCUCGGUAUUCCGUGGGGCAUGCCUGUUCGAGCGUCAUUUACCCCUCAAGCACUGCUUGGUGUUGGGCGUCUGUCCCGCUUCGCGCGCGGACUCGCCCCAAAGGUAUUGGGCGGUCGUGCCGGCUUCUCGCGCAGCACAUUGCGCUUCUCGAGGCGGUCGAUCGGCGUCCACGAAGCUCACCUCCACCGUUUGACCUCGGAUCAGGUAGGGAUACCCGCUGAACUUAAGCAUAUCAAUAAGCGGAGGA
rnacentral:misc_RNA from 1 species